UACGUAGGGUGCAAGCGUUAGUCGGAAUUACUGGGCGUAAAGCGUGCGCAGGCGGUGAUGUAAGACAGGUGUGAAAUCCCCGGGCUUAACCUGGGAACUGCAUUUGUGACUGCAUCGCUGGAGUGCGGCAGAGGGGGAUGGAAUUCCGCGUGUAGCAGUGAAAUGCGUAGAUAUGCGGAGGAACACCGAUGGCGAAGGCAUUCCCCUGGGCCUGCACUGACGCUCAUGCACGAAAGCGUGGGGAGCAAACAGG
rnacentral:rRNA from 1 species